CUGAGAUACGAUCUUUGAGGGCAGUACCACUGCAGUCCUACUACUACAGUACCGCCUCGACUGUCUCGUACAGUCAGUGGUACUUGCCGUCGCAGGACCGCUUGCUGAGUUGGACAUUAUCACUUUUCGGGACAGAGACCGGGACCAGGGACAGGCAUGGCUGGCGCGGUGGCACCGAAGCGACAGGACACCCGGAAAUUCUUCGAGAAUCUGUCCGGGGCCGGGAAAAGCAUCGCGGUGCUGACCAGCGGAGGAGAUGCCCAAGGUAUGAAUGGGGCGGUCCGGGCUGUCGUCCGGAUGGGCAUCUACGUGGGAGCCAAAGUCUACUUCAUCCACGAGGGGUACCAGGGCAUGGUGGACGGCGGAGACAACAUCAAAGAGGCCACAUGGGAAAGUGUCUCCAGCAUGUUGCAAGUGGGCGGCACCGUUAUCGGCAGUGCCCGCUGUAAAGAGUUCCGUAGCCACGAGGGCCGCUUGAAGGCCGCACACAACCUUGUGCAGCACAGCAUCACCAACCUGUGUGUGAUUGGUGGAGACGGCAGUCUGACCGGCGCCAACCUGUUCCGAGAGGAGUGGAGCGGCCUGCUGGAAGAGCUCCUCCUACAAGGUCUGAUUGAUAAGGAGGCAGCCUGCAGGAACUCAGAGCUCCACAUUGUUGGCAUGGUGGGCUCCAUUGACAAUGACUUCUGUGGCACCGACAUGACCAUCGGCACCGACUCGGCACUGCACAGGAUCAUCGAGGUGGUGGACGCCAUCAUGACCACCGCUCAGAGCCACCAGAGGACCUUUGUGCUAGAGGUCAUGGGCCGGCACUGCGGAUACCUGGCCCUGGUCAGUGCCCUGGCUUGCGGAGCAGACUGGGUUUUUAUCCCAGAAAUGCCCCCAGAGGAUGGCUGGGAAGACAUCAUGUGUCAGAAACUGUCUGAGAAUCGGGCUGAUAAGAAAAGGCUGAACAUUAUUAUUGUAGCCGAGGGCGCCAUAGAUUGCCACAACAAGGCAAUAACUCCUGAUUAUAUCAAGGAUCUGGUAGUCCGCUGCCUGGGCUUUGACACCAGGGUCACCAUCUUGGGCCACGUGCAGAGAGGUGGGACGCCCUCCGCCUUUGACAGGAUCCUGGCCAGUCGUAUGGGCGUGGAGGCGGUGCUGGCGUUACUGGAGGCCUCUGCCACCACCCCCGCCUGCGUUGUGUCCCUGGUUGGCAACCAGGCUGUUAGGCUGCCGCUUAUGGAGUGUGUUCAGAUGACCCAAGAGGUACAGAAGGCCAUGGAUGAGAAGAAGUUUGAAGAGGCGGUGAGACUGCGUGGCAGGAGCUUUGAAAACAACCUGAGAACAUACAGACUCCUGUCCUACCGCAAAGCAGAUUCUGAACUUCCAAAUAGCUCCUUUAACGUUGCGGUGCUGAACGUCGGCGCCCCGGCAGCAGGUAUGAAUGCCGCCGUGCGUUCUGCUGUCAGAGUGGGAAUCACCGAAGGCCACACGAUGUUCGCUGUCAGCGACGGCUUCGAGGGAUUCUACAAGGGACACAUCAAGGAGAUCAAAUGGGGAGAUGUGGGGGGUUGGACCGGCCAAGGAGGCUCCCUGCUGGGGACAAAACGGACUCUCCCGGGCAAACAUCUGGACCAGAUCGCCGAGCAGAUUAAGAUCCAUAACAUCAACGCCCUGCUGGUCAUCGGGGGAUUUGAGGCCUUUGAGUCCCUGCUGCAGCUGUACGAGGCCCGGGCCGACUAUGAGGAGUUUUGCAUCCCGAUGUGCAUGUUGCCUGCUACAAUUAGUAACAACGUGGCCGGCACCGACCUCAGUAUCGGGGCGGACACGUCCCUCAACGCCAUUGUGGAGACAUGUGAUCGCAUCAAGCAGUCAGCCAGUGGCACCAAGCGGCGAGUCUUCAUCAUAGAGACCAUGGGGGGUUACUGUGGCUACCUGGCCACCGUGGGCGGUCUGGCUGCCGGCGCCGACACCGUCUACAUCUACGAGGAGCCGUUUGACAUCCGGGACCUGCAGGCCAACGUGGAGCAUCUGACGCAGAAGAUGAAGACGAGCAUCCAGAGAGGCAUAGUGCUCAGAAAUGAGAACUCCAAUGAGAACUUCACCACUGACUUCAUCUACCAGCUGUACAGCGAGGAGGGACGAGGAGUGUUUGACUGUAGGAAGAACAUCCUCGGCCAUAUGCAGCAGGGAGGGGCUCCUUCACCAUUUGAUAGAAACUUUGGCACCAAAAUUGCUGCGAAAGCCAUCCAGUGGGUCACACGGACGCUCAAGGAGUCUUACAAAGGAGGGCGAGUGUUCGCUAACUCGGAGGACACAGCCUGCCUGUUGGGGAUGCGUCGCAGAGCUCUGGUCUUCCAGCCUGUGUCCCGGCUCCGGGACGAGACCGACUUUGUCCACAGGAUCCCAAAGGAGCAGUGGUGGCUGAAGCUCCGCCCACUGAUGAAAAUCCUGGCCAAGUACAAGACUAGCUACGACGUGUCCGACUCGGGCCAGCUGGAACACGUGACCCGGGUCCGACCCAGGGAGACCAACCCCUCGGCGGCCAUCUGAACAAAACCACGACGACUGAUCCACCGCAAAGAAAUUAAUAUAGAAAUGAAAAGAUAGUUGGCAAUUUAAAAAGUCAUAUUGUAAGGUAAAACAUUGCACUUUUCAAAGGUAUUAUAGACUUAAUAUAAAUAUAUAAGCACUCCUUAGCAUGCACUGUAAUAGUAUUGACAUUUAAGUCCUGAUGAAAUGUAGUUCUAUCUAAAGACCUUCUAAACCCCCUAGCUGAGCAAACAACCAUGCUGAGGUGGGAGAUGUAGUUCGUCUUUUUUUUGUCAUUUGUAUUAUUUUCAACAGCACUUUGAGCCCCAUAAUUAAUGUACUCCCCUAAAGCUGCUUCGAAAGAGUUAACAUAUGUCAGGAGGACCCCCCGCUGUCAAUCUAACACCUGUUCACACCUUUAAAACUGCCCAUCUUGAUGGAAAUGUGAACUACAGGUUUAGUGAGCCCAGCUCGUUGUGUGUGUGUGUGUGUGUCCUAGCACCUGCUGUGUGUGUGUGUGUGUGUGUGUGUGUGUGUGUGUGUGCGUGUGCAUGUUAUUGCCUUAGCUGUCUGUAUCCCCCCUGUGCUCUGAAUGUGCCAUCCCAUAGUGGUUUCUGUGAACCGGGUCCUGCUGUUGCUGUAGUUUGUCACUGAAGGGGAGAAUGUGAAUGAAACGUGUAUGCAACAUUAAUGUUAUGUGCUGGCAGUCGUGUGUCCUCUGACUAAUAAAACAUUUAUCGUGUGGAAAGUUA